rnacentral:rRNA from 1 species
AUGAAAUACCAAAAAAAAUUAGGUUUACUUGCUACUCAUGGAGAUGGGGAACAUCCUAAAACCCUCGAUGGUCAUUAUGUGAAAGAUAUUAUGUACUACUUUGGUAAUCCUGAAAAAAACCCAUUCAAUUAUAUAAUGGGAGACACGUUGGAUCAACGUGAAUACUUUAGGGAUUAUCGCUUGACUCAAAAAGGGAAACUAUUAUGGGAUCAAAUUCAUAUGUUGCAUUGGUAUGCUCGGCAACUAUGCUUGAGAUAUGAUUAUACUUGUUGCUCUAGUAUGAAGGCUCCACACCUUCCCUUUUCAUGCAAAUUUAAUGAUAAUGAAACCUUAGCUUCUUAUGCUAAUGGUAUAUAUGAUUACUAUGAUGUGGAACGAAUAGAAGAAUUUGUUGCUUUUAAGGGUGCAUGUGAAAUUGAAUCUUUGUUUAAAGAGUUUGAAGAUUUUGAUGAUUCGGUUUAUAGACCUGAAAAAUUAGCUAUCCUUAAAUAUUGCUAUGAGAAUUAUAAAUACAAUUAUGAUAUUGAUGAAUUUAUUGAGAAAGUCUCCGCUGUCCAAGAAGAGACUAAUAUUUUGCAGGAGUCUAUGGAAGAAGGGAUUGAUGAAACUGUGGGCUCAUUGGAUAAAAAAUAUGAUGAGGAGGGCGAAGAACAAAAGGAGGAAGAGCGGAUUAGCUACCCGUGCCCAGCUUCUAAUGAGAAUAACUCUUCAACUCAUACAUUGUUUAAUUUCCCUUCGUGCUUACGAAGGAUGAUUGCUAUGAUGAUUGUGAUGGUCUCGUUGAUUCUUUUGAAAUAUCCCUUUUUGAUGAUGCUUGCUAUGCUUGUAGCCAAGAUGCCAAUAUGA